CACUUGUGGAGGAUCAACACCUUCAGACCAAGUGGUGUAAGCCGGGCGGUGGUGGCGCCCGCCUUUAAUCCCAGCACUUGGGAGGCAGAGGCAGGUGAAUUUCUGAGUUUGAGGCCAGCCUGGUCUACAGAGUGAGUUCUAGGACAGCCAGGGCUAUACAGAGAAACCCCGUCUCAAACAAAGAAACAAACAAGACCAAGUGGUGUGCAGGCCCAGGAGGAAGCCCAGAUUCAACAUCCAAUUGUGAAUGAAGACAUGUGGCCCAACAGACACCCCUCUCAGAUACGUUAAAGGAAAGUGGCACGGUCUGGGAGAGGUUCUAGCAUGAUCCAGAUUCCCUGGUCUGCACCAGCCAGGAGCCCGGAGGUGGAGAUGAAGGUCACCUCUCUCUCCCCAAGUCUUCUGGCCACUGUAUGUAAGCAAACCUCAGCUUAUACCAACUCCUUCGCCAACACCAACCACCACAUCUGACUCAGGGCGGCCGACUGAACAGCACCGAUCUAGAACUUCUUAUUGUAGCCGGCCACUCCUCAUAGGUAAAGUUAUUUGGCGUCCUCUGACCUAUCUGCCUUUGCCAGAAGCAGGAGCAAGUCACGCAGUGGCUGACGGUGCCACGUCCAGGACACUGGCUGGACUGGAGCCACCUUUACAGAACCGGUUUGAAAUCAAACAACGCCAUAGUACAUGAGCCGGCUGAGCCAGGGGUGCCCAUGGGCCAAGAGGGGCAAAGGUCGGGGGACCAGAGCAGACUCUGGUGCAUAACCAGGGAGCUCACCCUGGUCUGACAGGGCGUGAGAAGGUGACCGAGGGAGCUGUCCCAGCCCAGGGAGCAUGCAGACAUCUUUCCUCACCUCAGAGGAUUAGUCCGCUGACAACUGAUUGUGACUUCUCUCCAAGCAAGCCGAGACUCACCGAGGGAUUGAACACCAAGGAGCCCCGUGGUCAAGAGUUCAGGCUGCUCCCACUUUUCCCUGGAAAUCGCUUAAAGUUGCCAGCUAGGAGACAGCACGGUGUGCCCCGCCCCCACCCCAGGCCUGUAGAGAAAGCUUGGUUUCAAUCCACCCUCACUUAAACAGACUGUAGGUUCCCUUUGUAGGUGAGGAGGCUGACAAGCCCUCACGGCAAGACAAGGGCAGGGCUCCGUAUGGAAUUCUGGACAGUCUACUCCAGCAUUGUUGCCGAGUCCCUGACAAGCCUUUCUCCACAUCUCUGCAGUGUGAACACCCAGGCACCUCCAUUCAGAGCCUGGCUCUGUAGCCAAACGAGUCUAGUGAUGUCAUCGUUGCCAUGGAAACUCUCCCCAGGCGUCAGGCAGGACCAACCUCCCCUGAGCAGUUUCCCUUUGUGUGGACUUUGCAAUGCGUUGCCAAGGCAGUGAGGCCUGCUGGGUGAGUUGGCACAGGGCAGGGAAGGCAGACAAAACCCCACACUGCAUCCCAGAAACCACCACUCACAACACAACAGGAGAGAUGGGCCGCAGUCUGCAAUCCCUGUUCGGGGGGUGGGGGUGGG